UACGUAGGGUGCGAGCGUUGUCCGGAAUUACUGGGCGUAAAGAGCUCGUAGGUGGUUUGUCGCGUUGUUCGUGAAAACUCACAGCUCAACUGUGAGCGUGCGGGCGAUACGGGCAGACUGGAGUACUGCAGGGGAGACUGGAAUUCCUGGUGUAGCGGUGGAAUGCGCAGAUAUCAGGAAGAACACCCGUGGCGAAGGCGGCUCUCUGGGACGGUACUGACGCUGAGACGCGAAAGCGUGGGGAGCGAACAGG
rnacentral:rRNA from 1 species